AUUUGGGUCCCCUAGACACAUGAUGUCAGUUAUUUUGCACUGACUCGAUAUGCCAAGGUAUCUAGUGUUUGCCAUCUUGGCCCAUCCCAGACAUUCAUAUCAGUGUCAUACUGCCUAAACAUAAACCGGCUUGAACUUCCCUCUGUUCCAUUCAGAUGUCAAAGAAUAUGAUGCUCUCCACUCGGGCUUCCAUGACUUCAAGAGAGGAAGUGGUGGCCGGUGCCCAGGAAAGAGUAGGGCUCCUUUCACUGAAGAGUAAGCCUCCUCCACGAAACAUCUCCUGCUCCCCUGGCAGGACUGAAGAGAAUGAAUUUUUGCCAGAUCCCUGCAUUUUCAUCAAAUUGUCUUGUCACAGCUGAGUACAGGCAGCACAGACAGCUAAGUGCUAUGGAAUGAGGCAGCCAAAAUGGAGAACCGGAAUACCCGAAACUGGUCAGCAGUGUUAAUCCUCUCCAGAGCAAUUGUAACCCAAUCAUGUAUUCAACCCCACGUCUUCAAAGUACCACCGUCUCUCAUUACCGUGAUGUUGGAGCACAUGACGAUAUCUGGCUUUGUCUCUCCAUUUUUAAUGUAUUGGCUUUAAAACAAACCUGCAAAGUG